UUAGAGUUUGAUCCUGGCUCACGACGAACGCUGGCGGCGCGCCUAACACAUGCAAGUCGAACGAGCGAGAGAGAGCUUGCUUUCUCAAGCGAGUGGCGAACGGGUGAGUAACGCGUGAGGAACCUGCCUCAAAGAGGGGGACAACAGUUGGAAACGACUGCUAAUACCGCAUAAGCCCACAGCUCGGCAUCGAGCAGAGGGAAAAGGAGCAAUCCGCUUUGAGAUGGCCUCGCGUCCGAUUAGCUAGUUGGUGAGGUAAUGGCCCACCAAGGCGACGAUCGGUAGCCGGACUGAGAGGUUGAACGGCCACAUUGGGACGGAGACACGGCCCAGACUCCCACGGGAGGCAGCAGUGGGGAAUAUUGCACAAUGGGGGAAACCCUGAUGCAGCGACGCCGCGUGGAGGAAGAAGGUCUUCGGAUUGUAAACUCCUGUUGUUGACGAAGAUAAUGACGGUACUCAACAAGGAAGUGACGGCUAACUACGUGCCAGCAGCCGCGGUAAAACGUAGGUCACAAGCGUUGUCCGGAAUCACUGCGUGUAAAGGGAGCGCAGGCGGGAACACAAGCUGGAAGUGAAAUCUAUGGGCUCAACCCAUAAACUGCUUUCAAAACUGUUUUUCUNGAGUAGUGCAGAGGUAGGCGAAUUUCCCGGUGUAGCGGUGGAAUGCGUAGAUAUCGGGAGGAACACCAGUGGCGAAGGCGGCCUACUGGGCACCAACUGACGCUGAGGCUCGAAAAUGUGGGUAGCAAACAGGAUUAGAUACCCUGGUAGUCCACACCGUAAACGAUGAUUACUAGGUGUUGGAGGAUUGACCCCUUCAGUGCCGCAGUUAACACAAUAAGUAAUCCACCUGGGGAGUACGACCGCAAGGUUGAAACUCAAAGGAAUUGACGGGGGCCCGCACAGGCAGUGGAGUAUGUGGUUUAAUUCGACGCAACGCGAAGAACCUUACCAAGUCUUGACAUCCUGCGACGCACAUAGAAAUAUGUGUUUCCUUCGGGACGCAGAGACAGGUGGUGCAUGGUUGUCGUCAGCUCGUGUCGUGAGAUGUUGGGUUAAGUCCCGCAACGAGCGCAACCCUUACUGUCAGUUACUACGCAAGAGGACUCUGGCAGGACUGCCGUUGACAAAACGGAGGAAGGUGGGGAUGACGUCAAAUCAUCAUGCCCUUUAUGACUUGGGCUACACACGUACUACAAUGGCGUUAAACAAAGAGAAGCAAGACCGCGAGGUGGAGCAAAACUCAGAAACAACGUCCCAGUUCGGACUGCAGGCUGCAACUCGCCUGCAGGAAGUCGGAAUUGCUAGUAAUCGUGGAUCAGCAUGCCACGGUGAAUACGUUCCCGGGCCAAGUACACACGGCCCGUC
rnacentral:rRNA from 1 species